ensembl:piRNA 21ur-2467 ncRNA
UAAUGUAGUAAUUUUUGCAAU